rnacentral:lncRNA from 1 species
GGCUUGAAGCUCUUCAGUUGGUACAUCGGUAGAGGUUGGCGAAGAUGUACCAGAAAGAAAUCUGUCUAGAUCCCUUCGGUCGAUUGACGUUGGUUUGAUCAGAGACACUGCAACAGAUGAAGAACAAUUGUUUACGAGAACUACUGAUGGAAAUUGGGAUUUAAACAAUAGAGUGGGUUCGAGACUUACAGUUAUGGUUAUACAAUCAUGCUUGUUUACUCAGAAGUUCGAAGCUCCCUUCCUUAAUGUGAAUCUUCUCUAGAAGGCUCGCCAUUUCUCUCACUCGUUCCGUUGAAAUACUUCUGAAGUUUGCAGAGAUACGAUCGGAAGUGAUCCAGUUAGGUAUGGAGGAGACUUCGGGUCCUUUGACAAAAAACCACUCCUUAUGCCAUCCUUGGUUGCUCGAAGGAGUGUCCAUUAAUGCUCGCCUCUCGAACCUGGCAUUAGGUUUGGAAGAUUGUUUGUUCAGCAUCUCGAAGCCUCGUUCUCAAGAUUUACCGGCUGUGAGCAGGGUGAAAAAGAAGUUUUCAGCAGGUGGAAUCCCUUGUUCGUGGCAGAAGGCGAAAAAUGUCAGGAUGCGGAUAUAGGAGUUCGGCACUAAGUGGGUGAAUCCCACGCCUACAAACCCUAGUAGAAUGAUGACAAAGGCAUGAAUAGGUAAGCGAACUCCCUCUUCGAGAAUGGUCAUCGGCAUGGCGGUCCAGCCUUCGGGUCGCUGGUACAUUCGUUCGUGGGGAGCUGGAGCCCUUACCAUGUGGGUGUCCCGAAUCUGAUAGCGGGUCCGAAGGUUACCCAACUCAUUCUCAGUGACGGUGGAAGGAGUGUUGGCAUGAGGGAAGUAUUCUUCACUUUUGAAGAAUUCUGAAGGAUUGGGAAUAGUUUUUAGUGGUUGAUUUUGAUUGUGAGUAUCAAUAGAUUUGAGAUUUGAACUCGGAGCCUCUUUUUUGCUAGAGCUCGGAUUGGGAAGAACAAUGGUAGUGGGGGCUAUGCGAAGUGGAGAAUUUUGAUUAGUAUUCUGAGAAGUCAUUGUUAAUUAGUUGCAGAGAGAAAUUUGGAGAAGAAGAGGAGUAAAGAAUAUCUGAAUUUCGAAUUGAGUUGGUAAAACUGUCAGAUUUGGGAGAAAGCAGCUUUUAUACUAGAGUUCUCUUCAACUUUUCACAAGGUUCAGGGGUGGCUCAUUUAAUGCCAACGGUGAUUGUGAAGUUAAAGAAGUAGCGUGCGGUUUUAGUCUUCAUUGUUAACCGGAGUGGGCUUCUCUUUUGGGCCUCGGUAAGUUGUAUCUUGGGCUUUUGUUGAUCUCAUUAUAAUUCCUUUUAUUCUGGACCGAUUCCACUUAUACUCUUUCAUUAAACCUCCUGUUUAAUAAAAGACUGGGGGGCAAUGUUGGGCCAUAAUACUUUAGACAU